UACAGAGGGGGCAAGCGUUGUUCGGAAUUACUGGGCGUAAAGGGCGCGUAGGCGGCCUGUUAAGUCGAACGUGAAAUCCCCGGGCUCAACCCGGGAACUGCGUCCGAUACUGGCAGGCUUGAAUCCGGGAGAGGGAUGCGGAAUUCCAGGUGUAGCGGUGAAAUGCGUAGAUAUCAGGAGGAACACCGAUGGCGAAGGCAGGUCUCUGGGCCAUAACUGACGCUGAGAAGCGAAAGCAUGGGGGAGCGAACAGG
rnacentral:rRNA from 1 species